rnacentral:rRNA from 1 species
UGUGGCUGGGGGUGAAAGGCCAAUCAAACCGGGAGAUAGCUGGUUCUCCCCGAAAGCUAUUUAGGUAGCGCCUCGUGAAUUCAUCUCCGGGGGUAGAGCACUGUUUCGGCAAGGGGGUCAUCCCGACUUACCAACCCGAUGCAAACUGCGAAUACCGGAGAAUGUUAUCACGGGAGACACACGGCGGGUGCUAACGUCCGUCGUGAAGAGGGAAACAACCCAGACCGCCAGCUAAGGUCCCAAAGUCAUGGUUAAGUGGGAAACGAUGUGGGAAGGCCCAGACAGCCAGGAUGUUGGCUUAGAAGCAGCCAUCAUUUAAAGAAAGCGUAAUAGCUCACUGGUCGAGUCGGCCUGCGCGGAAGAUGUAACGGGGCUAAACCAUGCACCGAAGCUGCGGCAGCGACGCUUAUGCGUUGUUGGGUAGGGGAGCGUUCUGUAAGCCUGUGAAGGUGUGCUGUGAGGCAUGCUGGAGGUAUCAGAAGUGCGAAUGCUGACAUAAGUAACGAUAAAGCGGGUGAAAAGCCCGCUCGCCGGAAGACCAAGGGUUCCUGUCCAACGUUAAUCGGGGCAGGGUGAGUCGACCCCUAAGGCGAGGCCGAAAGGCGUAGUCGAUGGGAAACAGGUUAAUAUUCCUGUACUUGGUGUUACUGCGAAGGGGGGACGGAGAAGGCUAUGUUGGCCGGGCGACGGUUGUCCCGGUUUAAGCGUGUAGGCUGGUUUUCCAGGCAAAUCCGGAAAAUCAAGGCUGAGGCGUGAUGACGAGGCACUACGGUGCUGAAGCAACAAAUGCCCUGCUUCCAGGAAAAGCCUCUAAGCAUCAGGUAACAUCAAAUCGUACCCCAAACCGACACAGGUGGUCAGGUAGAGAAUACCAAGGCGCUUGAGAGAACUCGGGUGAAGGAACUAGGCAAAAUGGUGCCGUAACUUCGGGAGAAGGCACGCUGAUAUGUAGGUGAAGUCCCUCGCGGAUGGAGCUGAAAUCAGUCGAAGAUACCAGCUGGCUGCAACUGUUUAUUAAAAACACAGCACUGUGCAAACACGAAAGUGGACGUAUACGGUGUGACGCCUGCCCGGUGCCGGAAGGUUAAUUGAUGGGGUCAGCGCAAGCGAAGCUCUUGAUCGAAGCCCCGGUAAACGGCGGCCGUAACUAUAACGGUCCUAAGGUAGCGAAAUUCCUUGUCGGGUAAGUUCCGACCUGCACGAAUGGCGUAAUGAUGGCCAGGCUGUCUCCACCCGAGACUCAGUGAAAUUGAACUCGCUGUGAAGAUGCAGUGUACCCGCGGCAAGACGGAAAGACCCCGUGAACCUUUACUAUAGCUUGACACUGAACAUUGAGCCUUGAUGUGUAGGAUAGGUGGGAGGCUUAGAAGUGUGGACGCCAGUCUGCAUGGAGCCGACCUUGAAAUACCACCCUUUAAUGUUUGAUGUUCUAACGUUGACCCGUAAUCCGGGUUGCGGACAGUGUCUGGUGGGUAGUUUGACUGGGGCGGUCUCCUCCUAAAGAGUAACGGAGGAGCACGAAGGUUGGCUAAUCCUGGUCGGACAUCAGGAGGUUAGUGCAAUGGCAUAAGCCAGCUUGACUGCGAGCGUGACGGCGCGAGCAGGUGCGAAAGCAGGUCAUAGUGAUCCGGUGGUUCUGAAUGGAAGGGCCAUCGCUCAACGGAUAAAAGGUACUCCGGGGAUAACAGGCUGAUACCGCCCAAGAGUUCAUAUCGACGGCGGUGUUUGGCACCUCGAUGUCGGCUCAUCACAUCCUGGGGCUGAAGUAGGUCCCAAGGGUAUGGCUGUUCGCCAUUUAAAGUGGUACGCGAGCUGGGUUUAGAACGUCGUGAGACAGUUCGGUCCCUAUCUGCCGUGGGCGCUGGAGAACUGAGGGGGGCUGCUCCUAGUACGAGAGGACCGGAGUGGACGCAUCACUGGUGUUCGGGUUGUCAUGCCAAUGGCACUGCCCGGUAGCUAAAUGCGGAAGAGAUAAGUGCUGAAAGCAUCUAAGCACGAAACUUGCC